CUAUACAUGGUUUAAUAAUGUGAGUGACUGUCAAUGUACCCUAUAAAUGGUUUAAUAAUAUGAGUGGCUGUCAGUGUACCCUAUACAUGGUUUAAUAAUGUGAAUGGCUGUCAGUGUACCCUAUACAUGGUUUAAUAAUGUGAAUGGCUGUCAGUGUACCCUAUACAUGGUUUAAUAAUGUGAGUAGCUGUCAGUGUACCCUAUAAAUGGUUUAAUAAUGUGAGUGGCUGUCAGUGUACUCUAUAAAUGGUUUAAGAAUGUGAAUUGCUGUCAGUGUACCCUAUAAAUGGUUUAAUAAUGUGAGUGGCUGUCAGUGUACCCUAUACCUAUAAAUGGUUUAAUAAUGUGAGUGGCUGUCAGUGUACUCUAUAAAUGGUUUAAGAAUGUGAAUUGCUGUCAGUGUACCCUAUAAAUGGUUUAAUAAUGUGAGUGGCUGUCAGUGUACCCUAUACAUGGUUUAAUAAUGUGAGCACAUGGUUUAAUAAUGCGAAU